GACGAACGCUGGCGGCGUGCUUAACACAUGCAAGUCGAACGAUGAAGCCGGAGCUUGCUCUGGUGAAUUAGUGGCGAACGGGUGAGUAACACGUGAGUAACCUGCCCUUGACUCUGGGAUAACUGCUAGAAAUGGUAGCUAAUACCGGAUACGACCCUCGGCGGCAUCGCCAGGGGGUGGAAAGAAUUUCGGUCAAGGAUGGACUCGCGGCCUAUCAGCUAGUUGGUGAGGUAACGGCUCACCAAGGCGACGACGGGUAGCCGGCCUGAGAGGGUGACCGGCCACACUGGGACUGAGACACGGCCCAGACUCCUACGGGAGGCAGCAGUGGGGAAUAUUGCACAAUGGGCGCAAGCCUGAUGCAGCAACGCCGCGUGAGGGAUGACGGCCUUCGGGUUGUAAACCUCUUUUAGUAGGGAAGAAGCGAAAGUGACGGUACCUGCAGAAAAAGCACCGGCUAACUACGUGCCAGCCGCCGCCGCAG
rnacentral:rRNA from 1 species